CUACGGGAGGCAGCAGUAGGGAAUCUUCCGCAAUGGACGAAAGUCUGACGGAGCAACGCCGCGUGAGUGAUGAAGGCUUUCGGGUCGUAAAACUCUGUUGUUAGGGAAGAACAAGUGCUAGUUGAAUAAGCUGGCACCUUGACGGUACCUAACCAGAAAGCCACGGCUAACUACGUGCCAGCAGCCGCGGUAAUACGUAGGUGGCAAGCGUUAUCCGGAAUUAUUGGGCGUAAAGCGCGCGCAGGUGGUUUCUUAAGUCUGAUGUGAAAGCCCACGGCUCAACCGUGGAGGGUCAUUGGAAACUGGGAGACUUGAGUGCAGAAGAGGAAAGUGGAAUUCCAUGUGUAGCGGUGAAAUGCGUAGAGAUAUGGAGGAACACCAGUGGCGAAGGCGACUUUCUGGUCUGUAACUGACACUGAGGCGCGAAAGCGUGGGGAGCAAACAGGAUUAGAUACCCUGGUAGUCCACGCCGUAAACGGUGGGCACUAGGUGUGGGUUCCAACCAACGGGAUCCGCGCCGUCGCUAACGCAUUAAGUGCCCCGCCUGGGGAGUACGGCCGCAAGGUUAAAACUCAAAG
rnacentral:rRNA from 1 species